GAUGAACGCUAGCGGCAGGCUUAAUACAUGCAAGUCGAGGGGCAGCACAGAUAGCAAUAUUGGGUGGCGACCGGCAAACGGGUGCGGAACACGUACACAACCUUUCUUUUAGUGUGGGAUAGCCCAGAGAAAUUUGGAUUAAUACCACAUAGUAUAUUGGAGUGGCAUCACUUUGAUAUUAAAGAUUUAUCGCUAAAAGAUGGGUGUGCGUAUGAUUAGGUAGUUGGUAGAGGUAACGGCUCACCAAGCCUUCGAUCAUUAACUGGUGUGACAGCACGACCAGUCAGACGGGCAGUGGCACACGGGCCCGACCCAUAGGGGAGGCAGCAGAAGGGAAUGUUGGGCAAUGGACGGAAGUCUGAACCAGCCAUGCCGCGUGAAGUAGGACGGCCCUCUGGGUUGUAAACUUUUUUUAUGGGGGACAAAAAAGGGCCAUUUUUGGUAAACUGACGGUACCAUAGGAAUAAGCACCGGCUAACUCCGUGCCAGCCGCCGCAGUAA
rnacentral:rRNA from 1 species